ensembl:lncRNA LINC01451 long intergenic non-protein coding RNA 1451
CAGAUUCACAAGCUGAAGCCCUAGCACCCAGGGCCCCAGUGUGCUACUGUGUUUGGAGACAGGUAAAGGUUGUCAAGGUAAGACAGGGUGGCCCUGAUCCAAUAUGACUGGCGUCCUUGUAAGAAGAGGAGAUUGGGACAGACACGCCCCGAGGGAUGGCCAUGUGAGGGCGCCUCAGGAAGACGGUGUGCAAGAGCGGGAAGCGGGGCCUCGGAAGAGCCAGCCCUUGGAUCUCGGGCUUCCAGGAGAAUCAGUUCCUGCAGUUGAAGCCACCAGGGUGCUGUGGCAGGGGCUGGGUCCCUGCUCGACCUUCGGGUGCCGGGGUGUCCCGUAUAAGAGCAGCACAGCCACCGCCACGGCCACUCGCAGUUCCAGGCUCCGGGCAGCAUCUGGGACCCCAGUUCCUGUUGUGAGAGGCUCCCCACUGCCAUCCCACCCCCUGCAAGUAAGCCAGAGAAAAGAAAAUGCCAUUCGGAAAAUCCUAAGGAAGAGAGGAUGCAUUUCCUCGUCUCCACGUGGAAGCGGAUCACCCUAAAGGUCUUCAUCCUGGUCUUUUUCAUGCUGAGGAGGCUGGGGAGGAGAAGGAAGAGGAGGGGCUGGUCUUGCUGACCCAGGAGCAGCAGAGAAAGGAGAAAAUCCACGUGCAGGGGCUGGCCAGCGCUGGGCUUCUCGGGAAUGGAAUCACACACGGACUGUGGCGUACACAUCACAACUUUAAACCCCGUCCGUACUGAAGCCUGCGUCCGAAUUUCUUCUGUUUUUGUGGCGGAAGGAUAAAUAUUCCAUUGUACAGA